UACGGAGGGUCCGAGCGUUAUCCGGAUUUAUUGGGUUUAAAGGGUGCGUAGGCGGUGCUAUAAGUCAGCGGUGAAAUUCUCCGGCUCAACCGGGGGACUGCCGUUGAUACUGUGGUGCUAGGAUAUGGUUGCUGUGGGUGGAAUGUGUGGUGUAGCGGUGAAAUGCUUAGAGAUCACACAGAAUAUCGAUUGCGAAGGCAGCUCACAAAGCCAUUAUUGACGCUGAGGCACGAAAGUGUGGGGAUCAAACAGGAUUAGAUACCCUGGUAGUCCACACUGUAAACGAUGAUAACUCGCUGUCGGCGAUAUACAGUCGGUGGCCAAGCGAAAGCGAUAAGUUAUCCACCUGGGGAGUACGACCGCAAGGUUGAA
rnacentral:rRNA from 1 species